rnacentral:miRNA from 1 species
AUUCUAAGUGCCUUGGCC